rnacentral:ribozyme from 1 species
UGCCCAGCAACUCCUAUCCCUACCACCUCGCGGUACUGGCGGGGUACAAGUAACGAAGAUCGGGUAGCCAACACCGGUAGGAACCCUGGUCGUAUGUUGACAGGGAAGG